rnacentral:lncRNA from 1 species
AGACAUAAGACAUCAGUCAGUACAUGUGAGGUGUGCAUUGGAUUGAUCCAGAAAGUCAGGACGACUCCAAGUGGAAAGGCCUCCAGACAGGAGACAGUAAAAGAAAUGGCCUCUCUCCUCUGUCAGAGUGGAGUCCCGAGCUCCCAGAAAUGCCACAUGAUGGACAAACGCUUGGGGGAAAAAAAAAAAAAAGGAGACCUCAGUCGGACACAAAAGCAGGAGCUUUAAAAGAAAAAAUAAGAGAUAAGUUGAACUUCACCAAAAAAUAAGCGUUUCUGGUCUUUGAAAGACACUUAAAAUGAAAAGGCAAGCCAUCGAUGGGGAAAAUACUCAGAAUAAUGGAUCUGACAGAGGGCUGUAUCUAGAAUAUAUGAAGAUAUUUUAAAAUCCAGUAAUUUGACAUAAAGAUGGUAGCCAGCCUGACACACAAAGGAACCCGAAUGGCCAAUGGACAGGAAGGGAACCCGUAUGGCCGAUGGACAGAAAGGGAAGUGAACGUGAACAUCUCAUUGGGGAUGCCGUUAUCACCACUGGAAUAGUCAAAAACAUGGACACCAAGUAUUGGUGGGUGAGUGGAAUGGCGGGAACCCACAUACACGGUCGAUGGGAGCUGCACCCUUUGGAAAUCAUUUCACAGUUUGUGCUCCAUCCUGGCCAAACCCACAGCUGGAGUCUUUCCAAAAACAGUGACGGGAGUUUCCACCAGGGAGUGCCUCAAACCAUCCCGAGAUGGGGCUGGUUGGGAUUCCAGGGAGAGGCACUCGUUGCCAGGGUGAUCCGUCCAGAGCACUUCCUAGGGGAUCUGGCAUAAGGAGGGCUGCAGUGUAUCCUCAGGACAGAUAGGACAGAUAGUGUAUCUUUGGGACAGACGGCAAGAUGGGGAUUCCACCCAGGUCUGUCUGCAGCGAGUUGAUAUGAGAGUUUAAGGAAUUUGGACCAGGGCUGCUUUGUUUCAGGGUUUUGGGCAAUGACCUAAACACCUUUAUCAGUGCCUGGGAAUGCUCAAGGCCCAGCUUGAGUUCAGGCCUGCAGGGAAAACCUGCAACUGGCCGGGCUGCAGAGUGGUCAGGGCACGGAAAGCCAGAAGCUGGGGACACACCUGCUGUAUGAUCCAGCCGUUCGUCUUUACCUGGGAGAAAUGGCACCACCUGGCUGAACAUAACUUCUUACACUCCCAUGAGUCCUCCUGGACAGGUGCUGUGACCUCGUGCAGCCUUGGGGACCCUGACACUCCCACGGACAGGCCAAGGGGUUUGCCUGGGCCCUGUGGGCACAGAGCCCCUUGAGAUGGGUUUCCCUAUGCAGCCCCCCACCCCCCACCGGGGACCCAUGGCACUGCAGCCCUCACCCCCC